rnacentral:rRNA from 1 species
UACGUAGGGGGCAAGCGUUGUCCGGAUUUAUUGGGCGUAAAGAGCUCGUAGGCGGCUUGUUACGUCGACUGUGAAAGUCCGGGGCUCAACUCCGGAUCUGCGGUGGGUACGGGCAGACUAGAGUGAUGUAGGGGAGACUGGAAUUCCUGGUGUAGCGGUGAAAUGCGCAGAUAUCAGGAGGAACACCGAUGGCGAAGGCAGGUCUCUGGGCAUUAACUGACGCUGAGGAGCGAAAGCAUGGGGAGCGAACAGG